GAGACAGGGUCUCCCUGUACAAACCAGGUGGGUCCCAAAGUGGAGACCCUCCUGCCUCUGUCUUCUUGAGUGCUGGAGUUAGAAGUGUUCAUCAGUAUGUCAAGUGUGAAGGGCUUCUCUUUAGAGGACUCCUGAGAGAAGUUCAGAUACAAAGAGUAGCGCAUGAAGGAAGCUCAACAGUUUAGUGACAAUUAAGAAAAUGGACCCCAGCAAAUAUUAAUGCAAAACUGCAAGGAAAUGCAUAGAAGAUUUUCGUCAUGAGAUGGGGAGAAAUGUCUCCCAUUUGGAAGUUUAAAGGAAAGCACAAGAGCACAAAUGUGCAGAGACAAAGAUGUAUGAAAUGAAAGAGUUUCGGAAAGAAUAAAAGCAGAUGCUGUAGUUACAACUUGCAGCUUGCUACACAAGGGGCGCGCAUUCCGGAAGUGCGAGGACAUCUGAAGAGGACUGGAGUCACUUUGUUUUACAGACUUAGACUCAAAGAUCCUUGAAGUCUCACUCAACAUGUGCUGACCACUCCUGUAGACUGAGUGUUUCUGCUUGGGAAACCGUACAUUAAAAACGAGAUUUGGAGUUAGAUCAGUCCCUGUUUCUAGUCAACAAUGGAGGAGAAUGUUGCCAACCCUAUUAAAAGCAGAGAGCUCAGAGACAGAAACUGCACCCAUGUGCGUCCCAUUUUGACUGCUACUUGAGGACCAGAUCUCACUUUGGAGGGAAGCACAACAGAUUCACCCCAUCGCCUGCCAAGAAAAGGAAAUUUAUUGCUGAGAACAUCAUGGAUCCUCCUGACCUGGGCCCGGCUCCAGGCCCCGGAUUCCUCCUCAGCACAAUAGCAAGGCCUUUCUGAGUCUGCCGGGGAGAUGCCAACACUUCACGUGAUAGAACCUGAGCGUCCCAGGCGAUGUUCCAAAGCCCCAGUGUAGCACCAUCAUGCUGACCACCCUCUGACAUUCGCCUGCACUCUGCCCUGCUGAAGACAUUGAGAGCUGACAGACACUGGGAGUAACACUAGAUCGGCCUUGCAGAUGAAUUAUUUGAGAGUCUUUCUCUGCUCCAGGAACUGACUGUUACACACACAAGGUGCUUUCCCACAAUAACUUUAUUCUGUGAAAAACACUCUUUAUUCAGAUUUUCAUAAAGUGAAAAUUCUACUAAACAUAAUCCCUGUUACCUCCAGUACAAACCGCUGAAUUCUGUUACUAUUGACUAUUUUCAUAUUGUAAACUAUUUAGUUACAUAAUGCUUAUAAACUAUUGCAAUAGGUUGAAUGAUGGCUACAGAAAGACAUCAAAGCUUCAUCACUGGACUGGACCUUGUAAACAUUACCUAAUUUGGAAAUAUAAUUAAGGUGACUGACCUGAGGUUGGUCUGGACUACCCAGAUACCCCCUAACUGCUGUCACAAAUGUCAUGACGUAGAAACCCACAGGGAAAUUAGACACAGAAAAGAAGUCAAAGUGAAGGGAGUGGGGGAUCAGAGCUCUGUAGUCACAGAGAACUCUCAGGGUUCCUAGCAACCACAGAAAGCUAGGAGUUAGCGUGGAACAGAUUCUCCUCAGGAUCUCCAAACGAAACUGGCUCUGCCCCUGCCCUGCAUUGAACUUUUGGCCUCCACAGCUGGAAGAGAAGACAUUUCUAUUGUUUUAAGCCAACAACUUUGCAGCAAUUGCAGACUUAGUCAUUCUUAUGAAUGAAAUAUAUGAACUCUUGAUGCUAGAAUACCAC
ensembl:lincRNA